AUUAAACGCUGGCGGCAUGCCUUACACAUGCAAGUCGAACGGCAGCACGGGGGCAACCCUGGUGGCGAGUGGCGAACGGGUGAGUAAAGCAUCGGAACGUGCCCUGGAGUGGGGGAUAACGUAGCGAAAGUUACGCUAAUACCGCAUAUUCUGUGAGCAGGAAAGCAGGGGAUCGCAAGACCUUGCGCUCUGGGAGCGGCCGAUGUCGGAUUAGCUAGUUGGUGGGGUAAAGGCCUACCAAGGCGACGAUCCGUAGCGGGUCUGAGAGGAUGAUCCGCCACACUGGGACUGAGACACGGCCCAGACUCCUACGGGAGGCAGCAGUGGGG
rnacentral:rRNA from 1 species